CGCGGGGAAACUGAGGCAGAGAGAUGGGUUCCAAGGCCAAGAAGCGCGUGCUGCUGCCCACCCGCCCAGCGCCCCCCACGGUGGAGCAGAUCCUGGAGGAUGUGCGGGGUGCGCCAGCAGAGGAUCCAGUGUUCACCAUCCUGGCCUCGGAAGGUAGGGGGAGCCCGGUCCCAGGGAAAAGCGGACCCGAGACCCCGGCAGCAAGGGGACGGGAGAGAAACACACCCCUAACUCCUGACCCCACGCCCUGGGAACCCCAGUAACAUGGGCACAGUCCGUAUCCUCUCCGAGCCUCCCUCUACUCUGUAGAGUGGGACCGAUUUUCAGAGGGUUCUUCUGACAGGGGAGGAGGCCAGGCGCUGUGGUUCAGGCCUGUAAGCCCAGCACUUUCGGAGGAUCGCUUGAGCCCAGGAGUUUGAGACCAGCCUGGCCAACAUGGUGAAACCCCGUCUCUGCUAGAAAUGCAAAAA
rnacentral:sRNA from 1 species